ACACCAUUAGCUCAAUGGAUAGAGCAGUAGCCUUCUAAGCUAUUGGUUGCAGGUUCGAAUCCUGCAUGGUGUGCCA
rnacentral:tRNA from 1 species